UACGUAGGGGGCGAGCGUUGUCCGGAAUGACUGGGCGUAAAGGGUGCGUAGGCGGCCCGAGAGGUCCUGGGUGAAAGGCCCCGGCUCAACCGGGGAGGGCCCCAGGAAACCGGCGGGCUAGAGGGCUGGAGAGGGCCGCGGAAUUCCCGGUGUAGCGGUGAAAUGCGUAGAUAUUGGGAAGAACACCGGUGGCGAAGGCGGCUCACUGGCCCGUAACUGACGCUCAGGCGCGAUAGCGUGGGGAUCAAACAGG
rnacentral:rRNA from 1 species